rnacentral:lncRNA from 1 species
AUGGCGGACAAUCAGCCCAAAUCCAAGCUUAAGCGAAAGAAAUGGGCUGUGGAGGAGAUUCACCGGGAGGAAACCAGGAUUGGGACGACGAAGAGGGAUGACUCCUUACUGCCUGGUGACGUGACGGCUCAGACGGAUCGCUCAGUGAGUCCAGCAGCACCAUGGUGGAAGAGAGAGCAGCUGCCUGCUGCAGAGAGGCUGUGGAUGCUCACACUAAGGUCUGCUCUGCCGUACCUGGACAACCAGCACUGGGAUCUGGUUCCUGAUUUUCCACAGCCAUCUACAAUAAAACCAACAGCAUUGAAGUUAGAAGAACAGCGGUGGUGUGACUUAAAUGAAGAGGUUUCCCCCUUUCCUGAACCUGCUCCUCUCAGGCUCCAAUCCUCCCAGCAGGACCUGUCAGUACACACCAAACCUGUACCAGACCCGCCUGACAGACAGCAGUCACUGCACAGCAGGGAGAGUCACGAUGGUAAAACAACAACAACAACCCUUCAAAGCCUCGCCAAAAAAACACGGCCAUCCCUCCACUGCUGGGAGACGGCUGCACCACCAGUAGGAUCCUCAAAUGUUGGGAGUGAAGCAGGAAGAAAAGAAGGGGAGUGA